rnacentral:lncRNA from 1 species
UUGUGAAAAAGCUUUGCCUGUGUACUUAGAAAGCAAGCACAUACCUUUUCCUCUCUUCUAUUUUGUUUUUUCAGCAGACUUGCCUAGACUUCCUUUAAAGUGGGACACAGCCAAAACAGCUGAGCGUCUUUGUGCAUUAAUGUGCUUAAUUUUCUCUACAGAAAGGAAAAACCUUGUGAGCUGAUAAUAUCAUUGAACUGCACCUUUGCUCCAAGCAAAUUUCUAAUUUACUUUGAAAAUAGGAGCAUUUUGCCUAAGAAAGGGUGGAGUCUUUGUUGCUACACCUUGAGGAGACUGUACACGAUGCAGUACAUCUCUGCUCCAUGCAGGCAGAGAGAACAGUGAGUUUUUUAUCACCCAGCCAAGGCUUCACAAAGCUGAUGGGUUUUAGAUGUAGAAAUGGCAUCUGGUAGACUGAAGGAGAGCUUGGCAACAGCCCUGAGGGAUUGCCACAAGAAGCAGAACCUGUGCCAUGGCUGUCCCUGACAUUGAACUGGGCUCUGAGAUGAUGUUGGCUGCUGAAGGGUUUAUUGAUGCUUGUCUGUUGGCCAGGAAAUUCGUCACCUUGUAACCUCUCUGCAGGGAGCUGCUCCCUGAACAGCUGUCAACUGAUUGCAGAAUCCACUCUGCUAAAGCAAUGGCAAAAUUGUGAUAAAUGCUCUGUAUCCUUGGAUUUUCACAGUCCUGCUGGGCUGUGUGGCUGCCUGGAGAAUAGGAUUUGUUCUUACUCACUCAGGUAACUGCUUUAAUUCCUUUGCACUAACUCUCUCAUAAUUUUCUGAAAGACACUGUUGCUUGAUGCUACA